CGCUGGUGUCGCUGGCGCUGGUGUCGCUGGUGUCGCUGGCGCUGGUGUCGCUGAUGUGGUCGUGCUGCAUCGUCGGUUCGAGCCCGUGCGGGCGA
rnacentral:tRNA from 1 species